rnacentral:ncRNA from 1 species
CAUGGCGAGAUUGACUCUUGUCGUAGCGAAAGCGAGUCUUCAUAGGGCAAUUGUCACUGCUUAUGGAUCCGAACUUGGGUGAUUUAUCCAUGACCAGGAUGAAGCUUGGAUGAAAUUAAAAGGAGGUCCGACCGACUGAUGUUGAAGAAUUAAUGGGUGAAUUGUGGUUAAGGAUAAAAUGACACUCACACCCAGAACUAGCUGG